ACAAGUGGGUUCUCUUUGAAAAAAGCCACAUUGACUGAUGCUUUGAUUGGGAAACAUACUGUUUCAUGCUCAAUCAAAAAGGCUUUCCUUUUCCAACUUUUUUUUUUUUUUUUUUGUACCUAAUGUUGCAUUUGCUAUUGCAUGGUAUAUUUUAGAAAUUGAAAGGACAACUGUGCCUGCAUUAUAUCACAUCGCCUUGUGUCAUCUAAAAUAGAUAUUACUCACGAGGAUGGGACUAAUUUCUGUUUGUUCCUGGAGUUAACAUGUGGAUAAGGGGAUUUGGUUUGGACCGUUACUGGUGUUAAAGAACCGAUUGCAUCAACAUCAACUACAAGGUUUCAUCUUCCAUCUACGGACUAAUUCAGAUAAGCUUCAUCACUUUCACUGUGUGUGACUGAGGUUGCGGCUGGCACUGAUGGACAGUUUUGUAAGAGACAAGUUAAAUGAAUGGCAGCUUGACAACCCGGUAGAUACCUUUAAAGAUAAAUAUGUACCUGCUGUCCAGAAUUCUCUUUGCAUUGUCUCGUCUGGCAGUGGAAAAGGGCUUCAUUCCUCAACCCAAGAGAGAUUCGUUCCCGCUGUUUGCUACACUGGUGUGGGGCAUCGUUCUGUGGUUGUUUGAGUAUUAUCCUCAUACCCUGCAGCCCUCGCUACAGUCCUCUAUGAACUAACUCUAAAUUUAGCAGAAGAUGCUUUUAUGGUUGUUGACAUGAUGGAUCAUUUACCCUGUACACACUUGAAUCAAGAUAAUUUUUAAGGAAGGACUUAAGUCAUGAUAACUAAAAUAAGUAUUUUGUUGUUUGAAGUUUUCAGUGAAAUAAUCCAGGUGUGGUAGUCAGCGUCAAUACUCGCUGAGUUACCCAGGCUCCCUGUGAGUCACUUCUAAAACUCAUAUUGUAAGGCAAAUAUUCAGAUGUCAACACUGAAAGUUCAUGUUUAUUUUAUAGAAGGGCUUCAGAGUAGCAACAGCACUGGAUUUCCUGGAUUAACGACCUGGAUUUCUGCAUUUAAAACCUACAAUUUGACUGACUGAAGUCUUUAGAAACUCUUCUAACCUUAUACAGUGUUAUAAGCUUCAGAAACUCUGUUUUACACCAUAACUGUUACUGGAUAAUGUAUUUUUUCAUGGCUUGUACUUUUACACUGUUACUGUACUUAAGGACAUUUUUCAGGAGACAUUUAAGGAGUAUUUUAACCAACACAAAAUAUGUAUCGUUUUAAAGUUUAGAAGCUCUACUUUACAAUGCAUGUAGCCAUUAUGCCCAAAACUGAACAAGUGCUUUGAAACGUUCCGAUUUGAUAAUUUAUUAAUAAUUUUGCACUGUACAUUUUAUUGUAAUCAGUAAAAACAUAAAGCUCAUCAAAUAGCCAUGUGUCAUAUGUUGUUGGAAAGCUCUCAAAGAGUAGAAAACAACCAACCAGCCUCUUUGUUUUACUCACUGACAAAAAUGUAGCGAGUAAUAGCUAAGUAUAUGUCUUUGACAAUUAUGUUGUUGUUGCUUAUAUGCCAUGUUUUCACUUAUAACUUCAUGAAAAAUAAAGGGAACAUAAAAUAUCACUUACACUACUUGAUUAUCAUUCAAACAAGCCCCCACACAAUGUAAUCAGAUGUAUAGAUCAUUAGAUAAUCCACAUGAAGCACAAUGUUACAUAUGGCCACCAGGAGAUGGUGCCAAAUACAUGACACAGACUCAAUGAUGACUCAUAUGGCACAGAAUGAAACUCAUUCUUUAAAAUUUCUUUAAUAAAAUCAUGUAUGCAUGCUAUGCAAACCUUUAGUCAUUGUUGUGUUUGCAUGUGUAAUUAGUUCUUAUGAACAAUUAUUUUGUUUUAUUUGUUUGAAGAGGCUUUUUUGGACAC